CGGAGGGAAACCGAGUCUUAACCGGGCGUUAAGUUGCAGGGUAUAGACCCGAAACCCGGUGAUCUAGCCAUGGGCAGGUUGAAGGUUGGGUAACACUAACUGGAGGACCGAACCGACUAAUGUUGAAAAAUUAGCGGAUGACCUGUGGCUGGGGGUGAAAGGCCAAUCAAACCGGGAGAUAGCUGGUUCUCCCCGAAAGCUAUUUAGGUAGCGCCUCGUGAAUUCAUCUCCGGGGGUAGAGCACUGUUUCGGCUAGGGGGCCAUCCCGGCUUACCAACCCGAUGCAAACUGCGAAUACCGGAGAAUGUUAUCACGGGAGACACACGGCGGGUGCUAACGUCCGUCGUGAAGAGGGAAACAACCCAGACCGCCAGCUAAGGUCCCAAAGUCAUGGUUAAGUGGGAAACGAUGUGGGAAGGCCCAGACAGCCAGGAUGUUGGCUUAGAAGCAGCCAUCAUUUAAAGAAAGCGUAAUAGCUCACUGGUCGAGUCGGCCUGCGCGGAAGAUGUAACGGGGCUAAACCAUGCACCGAAGCUGCGGCAGCGAACGUAUCACCCAAGACAACUUUACGGAGUUGACGAUUGACGGAGCGAAGCGACGUCAAAGCGUUCAUUAAAGUCGAGUUGGCUUAGGGAUACGUUCGUUGGGUAGGGGAGCGUUCUGUAAGCCUGUGAAGGUGUGUCGUGAGGCAUGCUGGAGGUAUCAGAAGUGCGAAUGCUGACAUAAGUAACGAUAAAGCGGGUGAAAAGCCCGCUCGCCGGAAGACCAAGGGUUCCUGUCCAACGUUAAUCGGGGCAGGGUGAGUCGACCCCUAAGGCGAGGCCGAAAGGCGUAGUCGAUGGGAAACGGGUUAAUAUUCCCGUACUUGGUGUUACUGCGAAGGGGGGACGGAGAAGGCUAUGUUGGCCGGGCGACGGUUGUCCCGGUUUAAGCGUGUAGGUGUGUGUUCCAGGUAAAUCCGGUUCACUUUAACACUGAGGCGUGACGACGAGGCACUACGGUGCUGAAGCAACAAAUGCCCUGCUUCCAGGAAAAGCCUCUAAGCAUCAGGUAACAUCAAAUCGUACCCCAAACCGACACAGGUGGUCAGGUAGAGAAUACCAAGGCGCUUGAGAGAACUCGGGUGAAGGAACUAGGCAAAAUGGUGCCGUAACUUCGGGAGAAGGCACGCUGACACGUAGGUGAAGUGAUUUACUCAUGGAGCUGAAGUCAGUCGAAGAUACCAGCUGGCUGCAACUGUUUAUUAAAAACACAGCACUGUGCAAACACGAAAGUGGACGUAUACGGUGUGACGCCUGCCCGGUGCCGGAAGGUUAAUUGAUGGGGUCAGCGCAAGCGAAGCUCCUGAUCGAAGCCCCGGUAAACGGCGGCCGUAACUAUAACGGUCCUAAGGUAGCGAAAUUCCUUGUCGGGUAAGUUCCGACCUGCACGAAUGGCGUAAUGAUGGCCAGGCUGUCUCCACCCGAGACUCAGUGAAAUUGAACUCGCUGUGAAGAUGCAGUGUACCCGCGGCAAGACGGAAAGACCCCGUGAACCUUUACUAUAGCUUGACACUGAACAUUGAGCCUUGAUGUGUAGGAUAGGUGGGAGGCUUUGAAGUGUGGACGCCAGUCUGCAUGGAGCCGACCUUGAAAUACCACCCUUUAAUGUUUGAUGUUCUAACGUGGACCCGUAAUCCGGGUUGCGGACAGUGUCUGGUGGGUAGUUUGACUGGGGCGGUCUCCUCCUAAAGAGUAACGGAGGAGCACGAAGGUUGGCUAAUCCUGGUCGGACAUCAGGAGGUUAGUGCAAUGGCAUAAGCCAGCUUGACUGCGAGCGUGACGGCGCGAGCAGGUGCGAAAGCAGGUCAUAGUGAUCCGGUGGUUCUGAAUGGAAGGGCCAUCGCUCAACGGAUAAAAGGUACUCCGGGGAUAACAGGCUGAUACCGCCCAAGAGUUCAUAUCGACGGCGGUGUUUGGCACCUCGAUGUCGGCUCAUCACAUCCUGGGGCUGAAGUAGGUCCCAAGGGUAUGGCUGUUCGCCAUUUAAAGUGGUACGCGAGCUGGGUUUAGAACGUCGUGAGACAGUUCGGUCCCUAUCUGCCGUGGGCGCUGGAGAACUGAGGGGGGCUGCUCCUAGUACGAGAGGACCGGAGUGGACGCAUCACUGGUGUUCGGGUUGUCAUGCCAAUGGCACUGCCCGGUAGCUAAAUGCGGAAGAGAUAAGUGCUGAAAGCAUCUAAGCACGAAACUUGCCCCGAGAUGAGUUCUCCCUGAGACUUAG
rnacentral:rRNA from 1 species